CCAGCAGCACAUACAACUGAAUUUCCAGACAUGACGAUCUCGUUUUUGUAUCCCUGGCUAACAACUACAUUUUCAUCUCUGGAUAGAGAGCAUUCAUCCACUGCUAUACCGGCAAUAAUAGGUGCACGUAUUGCACUUCCAGAAGCUUGAUUAGUCAGACAGUACAUUGUAUCCCUCAGAUUGUGGUGCAGGCCAAUCCCCUGCACUGCAUGACCACCUUCCUCAUUGCCUGCAAGAUAUGGAAAAUAAGCUUCAAAUGACAAAAAGCCACAUAUUCCAGUAUUAUGAUUGUUACUGUAAAACUAAUUCAUUCACUUUAGUCUUUCGCUUUAUGGUUUCAAAAGUAAAUUCGUGAUUACAAGAAUUCUUCAAGAUGCUGAAUGCAGAACGAAUUUCAAUAUUUUGAAUACAUAACACAUCAAACAUAGGAGCUUCUCCCAUAUUUCAUGCUGAUAAGUGACAGGAUGUAAAAGUCCACAUUGUGCAGCAAUCAAGGAGGCAAUGCAUUUGAUUUUAGUUCAUUAGAUGGACGUAGACAAGCACCAGGGGCUCCUGCAGCUAACAAUACACAGUAGAAGAAAGUCAAAAGGCAUCACCUAAUCACUCAAAUUAAUCACUGUGGAAAAUUUUGCACAACACCCCACGUGUUGUGUAGUAUAAAAUUCAAAUGAAAGACACUCGCAAUUCUUAAUCAACGAGGAAAACCAAUAAUAAACUCAAAUACAUAAAAAAAAGAAUUAAAUACCUGAAUAGAGAAUAUUUUAAAAAUUUGAACAUAUGGUACAAAGACUAGAUGAAAUCACACAAAACACAAUCUUAUUUGAAUCCUUGUCCUAUAUAUUAUACACAAAAUACAGAAUCAGCGUAUUAGAGUUUUUAUCCUAAUAUUGACAUAAAGUCCUCACCCUUUAUAUUGUACACAAAAUACAGAAUCAAUAUGUGCAAGAUACUAAAAGAACGUUUAUCCAAAAAAAAAAAAAAAGGAUGAAAAAAGAAGUGUGUGUAUCCGCUAUGUUUGUCUCUAAUUAAUAUGUAAAAUAUUGACUUAAAAGACGUAAAGCUAAGAUGAAUCGGUAAUCAUGACUGGAAACGUCAUUUGCCUUGGCAUUCCAUCAAAAGUUCCAAUAGAUCAAGUCUUAAAUGCUCCAAAGACUUGAAAAGCUCUUAAGAUCCCCAAAUCGUUUUGCAACUGCUAUGAUCCAGCAUCCAUGGUGAGAGAAUGGAAAAUGAUACGACACUAGGUGCUCUUUAUAGUUUAAUGUUAGAUGUUUAUCGUAGAUGGUCGAUCACAUUCAGUAUUACAUACUAGACAAAAAAAAAAAAAAAAACACCAAGGAGACCAUGACUAAUUAGCUGAAUUUUCUUGACAAAAAAAACAUAUUAGCUGAAUUUUAAUUAACAUUAUUCAAAUUACAUAAACUAGAGUAAGCCUGCAAAUGCAAUACAUUAUGGCUCUGCUUCUGGCUCAUUAUGGCCAACAAAGUAAGCCUGCAAAUGCAAUACAUGGUAUACGGCUGUUUAUUUGUCGCUAGGCAUGAAAAAAAGAUGCUCACCGGAACACCAGCGGCUUUGCACUGCAGGAAACCUGCUACAGGAUCUCCCAAAGAUGCAAAUAUAACAGGCAGUGGACAUCUUUAAUUAACUUCUUCUUCGGAUAGGUUAGCUAAGAAACUAUCUCCACUUGUUGCUUUAACUCUGUAACGAUCUCUAUCUACAUUACUUUAAAUUGUGGUUUCUUCACCACACCACAAUGGACAAUUAGGCGUACCAAAGUGCCGAAAAUCGUCAAAACGCCUGACAACAAGAAUUGGAGAUGCCUCUUCAUGGCCCUCCCAUUUGAAUCAGCUGCAUCGGGGACUUUAACAACUUCUUUAGUGUCUCCACAAUGCUCUUAACGGACGGACGCUGUGCGGGGUCACUGUCCCAAAAAAAAAAAAAUCAGAAAUUAAUAGCAUAAGAGGUGUGGUGUAAUCAAAGACAAGCAACUUGUUUUAUAUCUAGUUGUUACAGAAUCUAAGAAAUUCGCUACAAAUUUGCACGAGCCAAUCCCUUCCAACAACUUAGAUUCAUUUCAACCCAAAGGCCAAAUCCCAGAUCAGAUUACCGAAUAUCUUUUUGAAUGUACAGGAGUACUGAAGUAACAAUAGAUCUAAAACAGCAAAAAAUUCUUACUCAGCCCAACAUGAUUCCAUUAAAGACGUGAGGAUAGGAGAUGUAUUAGGCGGAAUAACGAGUCUUCUAUUCUGGAAAGCUACCGCACCAACAACCUGAGACAUUUCAAGGUUUUCCUCAAUUAUAUGGCAUUAUGAAACUUGGUUGUGCUUUGUGUAAGAAAUAGGCUACAAAUGUAAUUUUUCCAUGCAGCACUUUAUGUUGUCUGUAUUACAGCUCAAAACAAACCUGAGCUGGACUAAGCCCACUCCAAGGCUGUUGCAUAGUCACAAGCUCCCACAAGAUGACUCCAAAACUGUAGACGUCAGACUUCUCAUUUGAGGGCUCUCCUCGAAGAAAUUCAGGGGCCAUCCACUCGGGCUGAAAGGAAAAGCAAGAGAGUUACAUGCUAAAUGAUGCAGGGCCAAAUAAAUGCUCAACCUGCAAGAUGUUAACUUGCAUAUAGCUGACUUUCUGUUGAGCAAGAAAAGGAGACCACUUGUCCAAAUAGUUGCUAAAAAAAAUCCAUAUGCAAAGCUAAAAUGCAUGUACACAUAAGACUUGGGAAAUAGAACUUCCUUAGAUAUUUAGUAAAUAAUUAGUAGUGCAACAAAUCAUAAUCAGAAACAUAACUCCCUAGUGGGAGAGCUCUUCUUCUGUCAACAGAACAGCAAUUCAAAAACUUUCGUGGCUAUGGUACGUUUAUUCACAGCAAAGCUAACACCAUUUCUAGAAAUUGGUUAGACCUUGAUCCCAAGGGUAAAUUAGAUAUAAUCAAAUCAAUGAGAUUUAUAUAACCAUUUGCACUCAAAUGACAAUUACAUUAAACACUCAGCGAAAUCUUGUCAAACAUGAGCACCAUCAGUAUCUCAUUCUACAAGUAAAGCUUAACCUACAAGGGAAUGUGACAAAGUACACAAACUAGUGAUGUAUCAACACUAAUCCUUCUAAUUGUACAUGCGCAAGCAUGUGAGAGAGAGAGAGAGAGAGAGGAUAGCGAGGCUUACCGUUCCAGCAACAGACUUUGAUGAGAUAAACGUGCUUGCUUUAAAUCUUGACAAGCCAAAAUCACAAACCUGGUGCGUACCAUAACAAAAGAAGUUAAAGCAAGUCUAGGUUGGUUGAAAGCAAAUUUACCAACCAAGUGGAUUAACAUUGUGUACCUUUACAGUCCAAUUUUUAUCAACCAACAGAUUUGGAGAUUUGAGGUCCCAGUGAACAAUGGAAGGAGUCAAACAAUGAAGAUAGUUGAUGCCCUUCGCCUGCAAGUAAUAGGCAUAAGAAAGUUUUGUACAUGAGGAUAAGCAGUAUGAUUGGGACAUCUAUAUUCUGCACUAACCACAUCCAGAGCCAUCCUUAGCCGCCUCCUCUGAUCCAAUAUUUCUCCAGCUGCAGGCCUGUGUAUCAAGCGAUACAGACUUCCUCUGUUUCAUAACAAUUGGCCAUUGCAUACAUAAAUUAGUGAAAAUUUAAUCUCUGGUGACAAAAUAGCACUUAACUUUCCACAGAAACUAAGAAAAAAUGUACCUAGGUAAAUAUUCUGUCACAAUCGACAAAUGUGGACGCUUCAUAACAGCUCCCAUGAAAAGAACGACGUUUGGAUGACGAACACGUUUCAUAAUUGCAACCUUGAAAAGCCACAGAUUUGUUUUUCAGAAUAUAAGCUACUACUUCAUAAAAGAACUCUGGCACAGGAGUCAAGUUCACGUCGCAAAAAUAAGAUUAUAUAAUAGACAAUGAAGUAAGUGCAUUGUGAUCCAUGCUUAAAUGACUUUUUAUUCCAGAGUGGAUGCCACAAGACUGUCGGAUAACAAAAUAUUCUGCAUACGAAAAGUAUCUGAGAUCAUUAUACUUGUAGCGAACAAUUAGGUCCGCAAGGCAUACCUCCCUCAGGAACUCCUUGAACUGGUCAUCAUGGAAAUCUUGGAUAGUUAGCACCUUGACCGCAACAUCCUGCAAGAAAUUAAGUACUUUGAGCUUCACAUGAAACGAAUAUUGUAUUCAAAAUCAUAAUGUGAAAAAAGAGGAAGCUUUUGCUCUAGACUGAAAAUUCUAUAAACAUGAACCAUACACAUCCCACUUUGUUUUCAGUCAAAUAUCACCUUCAAAGUGGCGAGUAUUUCUAGAUCUGUAAUCUUUUAAUGCAUUUAGUACAUGAUCAUGCACAAAUGAUUCCAAGCAGACCAAGGAAUCUUUUAUUUGUAUAAACAAAUUUAGUUCUGGGAACAAGUAAAGUAGUAAUGGACACCUAAAUGCACACUCAAAACUACCUGUAUAUCUUGGUACCAGGGAUACAAAUAACUUAGGGAGUCUUAGAGUGUCUAAAAGGGCAGCUGAUAACAAAUAAAGUUGGAGCUAUAUUACUAACCGAUCCAUGCCAUUCAGCUCUAUAUACAGUCCCAAAUGAACCUGGAAGGCAGGAUGCAAACAUUUUAGUUGCUGCACAGACGAUAAAGUUAACGGUAAUUCUUAAGCUUUCCAUAUUAGACAAAAGAUAGCAAAGGAAGUACCAGCACCAACACGCUCCUUAAUAUGUAAUUCAUCCCAUGAUAUCUCAAGCCAAUCCAUUGCAAGUGAAGGUUCAAGAUUCAAGUAUCUAGAAUGGCCACCAGCAGGAUACCUCCCGCACUUCUUAGGUCGGCUCUCAACAUCCAUCAAACUUGUCGUAACAGGCAACGUCAACUUAGCAAUUUGCAUGCCAGCAGCACAUACAACUGAAUUUCCAGACAUGACGAUCUCGUUUUUGUAUCCCUGGCUAACAACUGCAUUUUCAUCUCUGGAUAGAGAGCAUUCAUCCACUGCUAUACCGGCCAUAAUAGGUGCACGUAUUGCACUUCCAGAAGCUUGAUUAGUCAGACAGUACAUUGUAUCCCUCAGAUUGUGGUGCAGGCCAAUCCCCUGCACUGCAUGACCACCUUCCUCAUUGCCUGAAAGAUAUGGAAAAUAAGCUUCAAAUGACAAAAAGCCACAUAUUCCAGUAUUAUGAUUGUUACUGUAAAACUAAUUCAUUCACUUUAGUCUUUCGCUUUAUGGUUUCAAAAGUAAAUUCGUGAUUACAAGAAUUCUUCAAGAUGCUGAAUGCAGAAUGAAUUUCAAUAUUUUGAAUACAUAACACAUCAAACAUAGGAGCUUCUCCCAUAUUUCAUGCUGAUAAGUGACAGGAUGUAAAAGUCCACAUUGUGCAGCAAUCAAGGAGGCAAUGCAUUUGAUUUUAGUUCAUUAGAUGGACGUAGACAAGCACCAGGGGCUCCUGCAGCUAACAAUACACAGUAGAAGAAAGUCAAAAGGCAUCACGUAAUCACUCAAAUUAAUCACUGUGGAAAAUUUUGCACAACACCCCACGUGUUUUGUAGUAUAAAAUUCAAAUGAAAGACACUCGCAAUUCUUGACCAACGAGGAAAACCAAUAAUAAACUCAAAUACAUAAAAAAAAGAAUUAAAU
rnacentral:lncRNA from 1 species